rnacentral:tRNA from 1 species
GCAUCAGUGGUCUAGUGGUAGAAUAGAUACCGUACAGACCCGGGUUCGAUACCCGGCUGGUGCA